rnacentral:rRNA from 1 species
AGAGUUUGAUCCUGGCUCAGGACAAACGCUGGCGGCGUGCCUAACACAUGCAAGUCGAACGAGGUUUUCCCUUCGGGGGGAGCCGAGUGGCGGACGGGUGAGUAACGCGUGGGCGACCUGCCUUCGAGUGGGGGAUAACCUUCCGAAAGGAGGGCUAAUACCGCAUGACAUACCGCGCUUGGAUGCGCGGAUAUCAAAGCCGGGGAUCGCAAGACCUGGCGCUUGAAGAGGGGCCUACGUCCGAUUAGCUAGUUGGUGGGGUAACGGCCCACCAAGGCGACGAUCGGUAUCCGGCCUGAGAGGGCGGACGGACACACUGGAACUGAGACACGGUCCAAACUCCUACGGGAGGCAGCAGUGGGGAAUAUUGCACAAUGGGCGAAAGCCUGAUGCAGCAACGCCGCGUGAGCGAUGAAGGCCUUCGGGUCGUAAAGCUCUGUCCUCAAGGAAGAUAAUGACGGUACUUGAGGAGGAAGCCCCGGCUAACUACGUGCCAGCAGCCGCGGUAAUA